rnacentral:snRNA from 1 species
GGGUGUGAGGGUGAUCUGUCUGCGACAUCUGUCACCCCGUUGAUCUCCAAGGUUGAGUCAGCUGAUCUGGCUGGCUAGGCGGGUGUCCCCUUCCUCCCUCAAUGAUCCAUGUGCGUCCCUCCUGAAAGUGCAUGCUCCGUCGAAGAAGAUGACCACCCCUGAUAGAGGAGGACCAUCCCUCAGUCAAGGGUAUACGAGUAGCUGCGCUCCCCUGCUAGAACCUCCAAACAAGCUCUCAGUUGCAUAGAAGGAAAGUUGAGAAUGAUUCUUUUCUUUUC